rnacentral:siRNA from 1 species
GGCCAACAUUGGAGACAGGGCCC